rnacentral:rRNA from 1 species
GAUGAACGCUGGCGGCGUGCUUAACACAUGCAAGUCGAACGGAAAGGCCCAAGCUUGCUUGGGUACUCGAGUGGCGAACGGGUGAGUAACACGUGGGUGAUCUGCCCUGCACUUCGGGAUAAGCCUGGGAAACUGGGUCUAAUACCGGAUAGGACCACAUUUUGGAUGGUGUGGUGGAAAGUUUUUCGGUGUGGGAUGAGCUCGCGGCCUAUCAGCUUGUUGGUGGGGUAAUGGCCUACCAAGGCGUCGACGGGUAGCCGGCCUGAGAGGGUGUACGGCCACAUUGGGACUGAGAUACGGCCCAGACUCCUACGGGAGGCAGCAGGGGGGAAUAUUGGACAAUGGGCGCAAGCCUGAGGCAGCGACGCCGCGGGGGGGAUGACGGCCUUCGGGUUGUAAACUCCUUUCGCUAGGGACGAAGCGUUUUUGUGACGGUACCUGGAGAAGAAGCACCGGCUAACUACGUG